CAGUCGCCGCGGUAAUACGAAGGUCCCAAGCGUUGUUCGGAAUCACUGGGCGUAAAGGGAGCGUAGGCGGCGUGGUAAGUCAGAUGUGAAAUCCCGGGGCUCAACCCCGGAACUGCAUCCGAUACUGCCAUGCUUGAGGGUUGGAGAGGUGACUGGAAUUCUCGGUGUAGCAGUGAAAUGCGUGGAUAUCGAGAGGAACACUCGUGGCGAAGGCGAGUCACUGGACAACAUCUGACGCUGAGGCUCGAAGGCUAGGGUAGCGAAAGGGAUUAGAUACCCCAGUAGUCCCUGUCUCUUAUAC
rnacentral:rRNA from 1 species